rnacentral:rRNA from 1 species
UACGAGGGGGCGAGCGUUGGUUCGGAAUUAUUGGGCGUAAAGGGUGCGUAGGCGGUUUGGUAAGUCUUGUGUGAAAUCUACAGGCUCAACUUGUAGUCUGCACGAGAAACUGCCGGGCUUGAGUGUGGGAGAGGUGAGUGGAAUUCCUGGUGUAGCGGUGAAAUGCGUAGAUAUCAGGAGGAACACCGGUGGCGAAGGCGGGUCUCUGGGCCGAUACUGACGCUGAGGAGCGAAAGCGUGGGGAGCGAACAGG